GCCCCGAUCCUGCCACGUACACAGUGAUUGGCAGCACAACUCGGAAACAUCCCGUGUAAGGGGAAGGAAAGCCUCGCCUACAGUGUUGCUGGCACACGAGUAGCCAAGGACAAAGAAUGGAUGAAACUGCCUCUUUGAGGAGCACCUUGAACUUACUGUGGAUUAAAAUGAGUGGCUCCACAGUACGCAGUCUUUUCUGGUGCCCCUCGAAUGACUCUUCUUCUCUCUUCCAAAUUCCACGCUGUCACGAAACAGAAUACUACUAAGUAGAUUUAAAAGAGCUAUCACCUUGAAAAUAAUGUUUUUUUUUCCUCUAGACCAAAUGGGAAAGGAAAGAGGGAGGGACAAGAAGCAAAAGUUCACACUGGCCUGAAUUGUUUCUUUAGAGGAUUGCUUCUUUUAAAACUCAUUGCAUUGGAAUUUUCUGAAUGUAAAUCACAUGAAUUGUUUCAAUUUGUUUCAGGUUUUAA